GGCUACGGAUGGUCAUGCGUCGCAUUAGCUAGUUGGCGGGGUAACGGCCCACCAAGGCGACGAUGCGUAGGGGUUCUGAGAGGAAGGUCCCCCACACUGGUACUGAGACACGGACCAGACUCCUACGGGAGGCAGCAGUGAGGAAUAUUGGUCAAUGGCCGCAGGGCUGAACCAGCCAAGUCGCGUGAGGGAUGACGGUCCUAUGGAUUGUAAACCUCUUUUGUCAGGGAGCAAAGGGCGCCACGUGUGGCGCUUUGCGAGUACCCGAAGAAAAAGCAUCGGCUAACUCCGUGCCAGCAGCCGCGGUAAUACGGAGGAUGCGAGCGUUAUCCGGAUUUAUUGGGUUUAAAGGGUGCGCAGGCGGAAUGUCAAGUCAGCGGUAAAAUUUCGGGGCUCAACCCCGUCGUGCCGUUGAAACUGGCGUUCUUGAGUGAGCGAGAAGUAUGCGGAAUGCGUGGUGUAGCGGUGAAAUGCAUAGAUAUCACGCAGAACUCCGAUUGCGAAGGCAGCAUACCGGCGCUCAACUGACGCUCAUGCACGAAAGCGUGGGUAUCGAACAGGAUUAGAUACCCUGGUAGUCCACGCAGUAAACGAUGAAUACUAACUGUCCGGGCAGAAUGAUGCCUGG
rnacentral:rRNA from 1 species